CUGGAAUUGGCUUCUUUCACUCAGCACAAUUCCCAAGAGACUCUUGCACAUUGUUGUGUGUGUUCGUUGUGUAUUCCUUUUUGUUGCUGAGUAUUAUUCCAUGGUCUAGAUGUUCCACAACUUCACACAUUCACCUACUAAAGGGCCUUGAUGUUGUUGCAAAUUUUUGCUAUUAUAAAUAAAGCUACUGUAAACAUUUGUGUACCAGUUUUUCUGUGAACAUAAAUCUUCCUUGCUCUGGGACAAACACCCAGGAGUGCAAUUGCUGGAUCCUGUAGUAAUGGUAUGGUUAGUAAAGAAACUGCCAAAACGUUUUCCACAGUGGUGGCAUCAUUUUACAUGCCCCAGCCACGUGUUCAUGAUCCAGCUCCUCUGCAUGUUUGCCAGCAUUUGGUGUUGUCACAUUUCGUCAUUUAUUUAAUUAGUUUAUUUUUUGAGGGAGUUUCUCUUGCUGCGCAUGCUGAAGUGCAGUAGUGAAAUCAGAGCUUACUGCAAUCUUGAACUCCUGGACUCAAGCAAUUCUCCAACCUCAGCCUCCAGGACUAUCGGCACACACCACUAUGCCCAGCUAAUUUUUGUACUUUUUUUGUAGAGAUGGGGUCUCACUAUAUUGCCCAGGCUGGUCUCAAACUCCUAGACUCAAGCUGUCCUCCUGCCUCAGCCUCCCAUAGUCCUGGGAUUACAGUUUCCAGUCUACAAAGAAAAAGAUGCAGGAAGGCAAACACACAAUCAUCAGAUGGAAUAUGGCGCUCCGUGGGGAUGGGAUGGGAACAACGGCAGGAAACCCACCGCCUCUUCUUCCUAGACCCAAGCAUCCGGUCAGCAGCCAGCCUGACUCCUAACCAGCACCCCUGAACGACCUGUGCUCCAGCAACCUGGGCCACUGCCACCGGAGAGCAACCAGAUUCCACCGUCCCUCCAACUUUCUAGAAACCUUUGUAGGCUGACACUGCCCUCAUCCUUGCCUGUGUUCCUCUUUCAUUUUAUAAUAAAAAUCCAGCAUUUAUAUAAUGAUUUUUUCCA
rnacentral:lncRNA from 13 species